rnacentral:rRNA from 1 species
GAUGAACGCUGGCGGCGUGCCUAAUACAUGCAAGUCGAGCGAACGGACGAGAAUCUUGCUUCUCUGAUGUUAGCGGCGGACGGGUGAGUAACACGUGUAUAACCUACCUAUAAGACUGGGAUAACUUCGGGAAACCGGAUCUAAUACCGGAUAAUAUUUUGAACCUCAUGGUUCAAAAGUGAAAGACGGUCUUGCUGUCACUUAUAGAUGGAUCCUCGCUGCAUUAGCUAGUUGGUAAGGUAACGGCUUACCAAGGCAACGAUGCAUAGCCGACCUGAGAGGGUGAUCGGCCACACUGGAACUGAGACACGGUCCAGACUCCUACGGGAGGCAGCAGUAGGGAAUCUUCCGCAAUGGGCGAAAGCCUGACGGAGCAACGCCGCGUGAGUGAUGAAGGUCUUCGGAUCGUAAAACUCUGUUAUUAGGGAAGAACAUAUGUGUAAGUAACUGUGCACAUCUUGACGGUACCUAAUCAGAAAGCCACGGCUAACUACGUG